rnacentral:misc_RNA from 1 species
UCGAUUUGGGAGUAUUUGUUGGGGAUUUGGCUUUAGAUGAGGAUGACAGCAGGGAUGACAUAUCACUUGAAGGUCUACAAGAGCAGCUAGAAGAAUGCAAGAAUGACAAUGAAGUGGCGAAUAUACUUUCUAAAGGUACCAAACUACGGGAGUACACAAAAGGAGUAGAGAACAAUGUUCGACAAGUCGAAUUGGACUCGAUUCAGGAUUACAUUAAAGAGAGUGAUAACUUAGUUUUAUUGCACGACCAAAUCCGUGACUGUGACAGUAUCUUAUCACAAAUGGAAACUCUUCUAAGUGGAUUUCAGGAUGAGAUUGGUUCUAUAAGUUCAGA